CAUCAAAUGCCAAUAGAGUGAUUAUACCUUUCUGAUGCAACUAAACCACUAUAAUCAGUCGAGAACGAUCAAUGCCAGGAAGGCACCCGCAUCUCUACAAUGAUGGAAGACCUCUAGACUUAAUAUUUAGUGAAAAAAUUUAGGUUUAGCUCUCUUCUAAAUCAAUAGAUAUAACAUCUAACUGAUCAAAUUUAGAUCAGCACAUCCACAUGUCUAACC
rnacentral:lncRNA from 1 species